UGUCCCAAUCAUUGCUUUUCGACUUUUAGUAACCCGAGGUUUCAAAUACUUUUCCUUUUCAUGUCUUCAAUUCGAAUUUUACUACUUCGCUUAGAGGGGACGAAAAUAGUUUUGAUUAGGGAGUGUGACGAAUCUAGGAAGGUUGUCAGCUCGACACGUUUUAGGAAAAGUGCAAGUUGUGGAAUGCGUGUAUACAAAAUGUGAACCGGUUCGAUGGGACUACAAAUUGGGUUGUUUUGGAAACGAGUUGUUAUUAUCAUUCAAUGUUGGGCGAGCUUUCAAGAGAAUGGUGGUGAUAGUUCUAGUCGGGUUAGUGAUUAUGUUUUACUUUCUUGUUCCCCUGGAUUAGUUCGGAAGAAAAUUGGAUAUCCCAUUUCUUUUGAUGAAUCAGAUGUCGAGACCUUUGUUGAUGAUGUCUUUACUUGGAUUCUAUUUACAAAACCAAAUAAAUAAUGUCUUUUUUUAUUAGUAAAGUGGAUAUCUCGUCUACUGGUAGGGAGAAGGAUGUUAUUUUAGAACCUUGUAUACUUAUGAUAAGGUGUGUCUGAGACGUCCUCAGUGAGUGAAGGUUGAGAUUUUUCAAAUCUAUCGUGUGUUUUGAGGAUUUAGGAGUAAAGCUUCAUUUCACUACUUUUGAGUUUGAUGUCCUUGAGGUGCGUAAUAUCUCCCCCUCACAAAUUAAGCCAAAUAGUUGGACGUAUAUGUGUGGUUUCGAGAUAUUGUGCAAAGGUUUGGGAUCUCAGCCUUCAAUGAACGUGUUCUUUACCUUUUACAAAACAAAGGGAGUUGAUAAAAGGUUUUGAGUUUCUAUCAGCGCCAAUUCUAACACGAGUCAAUUUCAAAUUUAUGCGUCAAACUAUAAGAGCUAGAAAGAGAAGUACUUUCAAGUCCGAGGCGGGAAAGAUUGUCUUGAGGCUUCUUUGAUUUAUGUAGGCAAGUUCGAUGGCGCCUAUGUCUAUUGUGGAGGGCUUUCCUCAAGAAUUCAAAGGAUAAAAAGGCUAGGAAAGUUGACGAUCCUAUACCCAAAGUGAUCCUAUUGAAGAAAUUCAUCGGAGUAAUAAAAGGAAAAAUUAUGUUGGUAGUUUGGUGUUUGUUGUGGAAAUUGAGGCUGAGACUCGGCUCACUAAGGCAUCUCCCGUAAAGAAUAAAGGAAAGAGUGAUAGAGGUGAGGCAAACAAAGCGAGUCCUUGAUCUUAAAAUUGGGGGUUCAUUUUGGGAUAGGAAUUUUUAUCGGACUGGCUUCGUGAAAGAUCAUUUCAACCUUCCUGAGGAUUUUGAGGCAGCGAGGAAGUCUAAUCAUUUCAGCUUGUUUCGAGAUGCCAUUGUUUCUUGUCUGCGUUCUAUAGUGUUGCUUGAAGUGAUGGAGGAAGAUUUUUAGGCUGUAAAAUCGCGGGAGGAUAAGCUAAAGUAAGUCAAAGGUUAAAUCCUUAGAGGAUUAGUUGAAGGAUUCUGGCAAUUCCUUAAAGACAGCGAGGUAUGAGAAGAAGAAAGUUUAGGAGAAUAAGCGGGAUGCUGAAGCUAAGCUGUUAGAGCUUAAUAACAAUUAUGAUUAAAUGGCGAGGCUUGGAAGGGCCCCCAAAGUAUUACUGAGUUACAGGAGGAGGUACAAAAUGCUAAGAUGAAUGUUGCUGAGAAUAUAGAAAAGGGGUUUGAUCGAGCCAACGAUCAAGUCUUGUUGUGAUACCCAUCUUUUGAUCUAAGUAGUCUCUCAUCGUUCAAGAUUGUUUAGGGAGGGGAGCUGGUCGAUGAGCCAUGAUUGUGCUUUUGUAAUGGUCGAGUUGCUAGUUCAAGCUUUUUGUAAUGGCCUUUUAAGGCGUCUUUUGUUUCCUGUUUCAUGUUGUAAGAGUAGGGUGCCCUUGCUAACUAUUAACAUAUAUUUGGGUGAUUUUCUUCUUGGGCUA